CGUGGAGACAGGUGGUGCAUGGCUGUCGUCAGCUCGUGUCGUGAGAUGUUGGGUUAAGUCCCGCAACGAGCGCAACCCUCACCCCUAGUUGCCACCGGGUUAAGCCGAGCACUCAAGGGGAACUGCCAGCGUCAAGCUGGAGGAAGGCGGGGAUGACGUCAAGUCAUCAUACCCCUUACGCCCUGGGCUACACACGUGCUACAAUGGCCAGUACAAAGGGACGCGAGACUGCGAAAUGGAGCUAAUCCCAAAAAGCUGGUCUAAGUUCAGAUUGCAGUCUGCAACUCGACUGCAUGAAGGAGGAAUCGCUAGUAAUCGCGUAUCAGCCCGGCGCGGUGAAUACGUUCCCGGGCCUUGUACACACCGCCCGUCACACCACGUAAGCUGUCUGUACUCGAAGUCGCUGAG
rnacentral:rRNA from 1 species